ensembl:snoRNA
UUCCAUGUCUUUGGACUGCUGUGGCAGUCUCAUUUCCUCACCAUGGAAGAGCAUAUUCUUGUUUAUUGGCAAAACCAUUAUCAUUUAACAGGUAUCAGACCCUGACUGGCAGCAUUCUCAUUA